rnacentral:tRNA from 1 species
GGGGGAGUGCCCCUGAUUGGUAAAGGGGAACGGAUCGGCAGUCCGGGUUGUAUUGUGGGCUCAAUUCCCACCUCCCCCU